AGUCAUGAGACGAUACCGAUGCACGGGAACCGCUCACCGAACUACGUCGAAGACGGGCUGCGGGGCGGGCUUCAUCCUCGGCCCUAAAAAAAAAAAAUUAACCCAUCAAACAUAUUUUCAUUUAUAUAUUUACAAAAGGUUUUAUAAACGUUUUAAAAAAAACUAUUAAACCUUUUAUAUAUAUAUAUAUAUAUAUACAUAAUUAUAAAAAAUUUAUAAAUAUAGAAAAAUGUUGUUAAAAAUUUAUAAAUGAAGAAAAAUGUUGUUAAAUAUUUAUAUUUUAAAAAAAAAAUGUUGUUAAAUAUUUAUUAGUGGAAACUUAAAAAAAAAUAUAAAAAAUUUUAAAAUUUUAAAAUUUUUACUAUACAUGAUUUACAUAUAUAUAUAUAUAUACAAAAUUAUAAAAAAUUUAUAAAUAUAGAAAAAUGUUGUUAAAAUUUAUAAAUGAAGAAAAAUGGUGUUAAAUAUUUAUAUUUUUUUCAAAAAAACGUUUUUAAAAAUCAAAAAACGUUUUUAAAAAUCAAAAAACGUUUUUAAAAAUCAAAAAACGUUUUUAAAAAUCAAAAAACGUUUUUAAAAAUCAAAAAACGUUUUUAAAAAUCAAAAAACGUUUUUAAAAAUCAAAAAACGUUUUUAAAAAUCAAAAAACGUUUUUAAAAAUCAAAAAACGUUUUUAAAAAUCAAAAAACGUUUUUAAAAAUCAAAAAACGUUUUUAAAAAUCAAAAAACGUUUUUAAAAAUCAAAAAACGUUUUUAAAAAUCAAAAAAUGUUCCAAAAAAAACUAAAACAACAAUCCUAACUUAUAUAUCCUAAACUAUCCAUUCAAUCCUAAAAUGUUCAAUCAAACAACCUAAAAUCCGAGAUCAACUUCCAAAACCCUAAACAAUUGAAAAAAAAAAGGUUUGGGAUGAUUCUUACAUGAUUUGGGGUUUGGGGAAGAGAUAGGAGGGUGAGGAGAGGAUUCGCCGGUGAAGAGAGGCCGGAAUCGCCGGAGAGUCGCCGGAAUCGCCGAAAUCGCCGGAGAGGAUCUUGAGAGAGGGAGAGGCCGCGGAGAUAACGAAGAAGAAAGGAGAAGGGUUUUUAUUUCCGCGGAUUCCGACGGACACGGGUUCGUCGGUAUUCCGUCGGUAUAUUUAAAAUAUACCAAAUGCCGAUUCGCGAAAAUUUUCAAGCGGUUUGGUUCUCCCGGGCUAAUUGAAAUUCCGACGGAACGUGUCCGUCAGUAUUUUCCGACGGACACAUUCCGUCGGUAU
rnacentral:lncRNA from 1 species